AACCCCCCUCCCCCUUUCCCCCGGGCCCAGAUUGAGCUGGUUAGAGCUUCCCAAAGCAGCUCUCAGUUGCUUUACCUUGAUAUCCACCCUGGCCACCUAUAUUCCUAUCCUUCAGAUAGGCACAACAUUCACUAUGCUGGACUCUCUAAUGUUCCACUUCUAGUCUAGUUCAGUUACUAGUCCUGGGGACACAGAAUUGGACCUAAUAAAUUCUAAAGAACUACUGCCAGGUGCUGAGAUAUUGUAGCUGGGAAUUAACUGGUUUAGUCAGGGUCAUUCUGAGACUACUGCUAAUACCCUUGGAAAACUGGAUAUGCCUUAUGGUGCAGAUGUUCACUUAAUGACAGUGGUUCAUUGUUUACUUUGGCUUUUGCAAAAUGUUCUGAACAAUUAAGCAGAGUUUUCUAGGUUUUUGUUUUUUUGUUUUUUGAGUCAAAGGAGAGCUGGAAGAUUAUCAAAAUAUGAUGGGUGAAGACGGAAAUGGGAGAUGGCAGAAGGAAGACCAUUAGAGUCCCAGUUGAAGAUGGCGUCUCUAAAACUGCCUUAAUGCCUGGCACAAACCACAUAUUUGCAUAUGAACUACUACUGUUUUCCAAACUGUCGACCUCUGUUUGAAAUCGUUUUGGGGGAUGGUUUUGGAAACAUGGUGGCAUAAAAUCUGAACAGUCAAGAGCUAAACCAGCAAAAAGGAGAAAUGACUUCAUCUGCAGCCUUCGCUGCCUUCGUCCUGUGUUGAUCCUCUGUGAUUUCCUCCUACUGCCCAAGAUGUGUGUAUGAAAUUUUACCUCCCAGAAAAGCAGAAAUGGCUGUGCUCCCAUGAUGGACCA